CACGUAUGGGGCGAGCGUUGUUCGGAAUUAUUGGGCGUAAAGGGCGCGUAGGCGGUUACGCAAGCCUGGUGUGAAAAACUGCAGCUCAACUGCAGGGCCGCACUGGGAACUGUGUGACUUGAGUUCAAGAGGGGGAGUUGGAAUUCCUGGUGUAGGGUGAAAUCUGUAGAGAUCAGGAAGAACAUCAGUGGCGAAGGCGAACUCCUGGCUAUGAACUGACGCUGAGGCGCGAAAGCGUGGGGAGCAAACAGG
rnacentral:rRNA from 1 species